rfam:Colletotrichum chlorophyti strain NTL11 CCHL11_scaffold115, whole genome shotgun sequence.
GCGCCGAUGGUUUAGUGGUAAAAUUCUCCGUUGCCAUACAGCAGCGUCGGGGAGCCGGGGGUUCGAUUCCCCCUCGGCGCA